rnacentral:antisense_RNA from 1 species
CUUGAGGGAGCCCAGCCACAGCGGCCGCCCCUUGGGCCGGCCCUGCCCGUACGUGGCGAUGAUCGCCUGCGCUUC